rnacentral:lncRNA from 1 species
GAUAGGCCCAGGGCACUGAUUUGUGUAAAGGUAGCUUUAUUUUCUUGAUGUAAUUGUCAUCUCAGAGGCUAACUUCUGCAUAAGCUCACCCUGUCUAGUUCUUUGUCUCUAGGUGGCUGGUUCAACUCAGCUGUUCUGCUCAAACUCCUCUCUAAGCUGACUGGUUCAAUCUGGCUUCUCUCGGCUUCUCACUGAAUUGCUCUGCUUGGCUUCAAACUAGCUGGCAGUCUGUUCUAAUCUUCUGGUGCCUUCUCAUUCUCUAUCUUGAACUGACUCUCCUGACCUAUGUCAAACUGCAUGAACUCAGGAAUGAACUCACCUCCACAGCACUGCCUCCUGUGCUGUCUGGCUGAACUAAACUCGACUGACUGAACAGAACUGGCUCACUCUCUCUUGCUGGACUGCUCUUAAACAGCUUCUCUUUCUUGUCUGUUCUCGUGAGGGUGGGGAGGACGCCAUCUCUGACUCAUUCUGUCAAAUCCUUCUUUGACUUCUCACUUUGUCUGCCCCUCAAUUAGACUUCACUUUCAACAAUAGCUGUUUGCUUCUACACACUAGCAUUACAUUAUUUGGGAUUAAAGGUGUAUACUAAAGGUCUAUAUUCCAGCCAGAACAACCCUGUUGCUGGAUUAAAAUUCCUCUACAGAUUUGUAUAUUUGCUACUGCCCUAUGUAAAAGCAAAGCUUGUUAAUGUACAUAUUACAUGUUGCCAGGUUCUUCUGACUAAGCCCACAUGAGCAAGUAUAUGCUGAUUUACUCUUAGUGUCUAUCACGGGCUAGCCUAAUCAAAGGAGUUAAAAAUCGAUAUCAUCUUAAAAUAUACCCUGGCAGAGAAUCAAAAAACAGGUUCUUUAACUCUGACUGUUAAUCCAAGGUGGCAAGCUUCUAGAGAAAAUAGCUUUUUAUAUUUCUGUGUUCUACUUCUAUAAUGGGAGUCAAGAAAUGGUAACAAAUGGUCUUUGCUUCCUUCCAGAAACAAUGCUUAUACUUGGCUUGCUCCUAACCACAGUCCGUGAUCUUCUUAGGCUCAACUUUAAGGUUUUAUCCAUUGACGUCUAAUGUCUGUUCUGGCCUGACCUGAAUGGGGUUUUUCAGAGACUUAAGUGCAUGUGAAGAAACUUCAGGGACUAGAGUUGUGGGGUCAAGAGAGCUCAUUUACAGUGUCAGAGUCCAGCAGGUCUAUCCAAACCAUGCGUGUUUUUACCCCUUGAUUUGGUGGGAUGUCAUCAGAAGCCUUUAGACUCUGUGUGCUGGGACUUUCUCGUCUAGAAUGAGGAAGCUACAGCGCUUGAGCUGUUUUCCAUAAUGAAGACAGGUUUUCACUUGUCUUAGUGUUUAACUCUGACGCUUAGCGAUCUGCACACAUGAUUUUAAUUGAAGAGGGAUGCGGCUGACGUAGUGUGGAGGGUGAUCAGGUACAGGAAAGCAUCCUCUGACAUAUUCUGGCUACACUAACUGAAUGGAUGUAUGAAGUUGCAAGUUAUUCAAAUCUCAGGCAGCUUAAUGACUUAAAUGUGAAUGCAAUGCUGAAAUUUUUUGUUGUUUUUUUUACAUUUGUAACUGACAUAUUCCAGUUUGGGGGAAAAUAGCUCAGAAUGAAGCUUUUAUUUCUUCUUUCACAGAGGUGUUCUCAGAAAUACAACAAACUUUUAGCCUUGAAGCCCUAUGGUCCUCACUGUUCCUUGUUAGCCUUAGGAAGGCCCUUGUGCCGUGUGUACUGCCUAUGUAAUGUUUGAGUUAUUAAAGUGUUUAUACGUGAAUACAGUUUUCCCUUAGAACGUUGCUAUGACAGAGCGCACUAAUCCGUGUUUUGAUAUUAACUAUCUGCCCUGCUUUUCUUCCUGUUGCUGUGAUAAAACACCAUGACCAAUAGCAACUUGAGAAGGAAAAGUUUAAUUGGCUGACACAUCCUGAUCACAGUCCGUCCUUAAGGGAGGCAGAGGCAGGGACUCAAGCAGAGGAGGAACUUGGAGACAGAUUGAAGGAGAGACCAUUGCUUCCUCUGCCUGCUUUCUCACUUAGCCUGGGAUACCUACUGUGGGGUUACCCUAGCCACAGGAGACCGGACCCUCACCCACAGGAGGUUGAGCCCUCCCAUAUCAGUUGUUAUUAAAGAAAAUGUCCCAGAGACCUUUCUACAGGCAAUCUAACGGAGGGAGGCCUUUUCUAAAAGAGGUUCCUCGUUUUCAGAUGGUGACAGCAUAUGUCAAAUUGAUUAAAACCAAACCAAACCAAACCAAACCAAACCAA